AUGUUAAUAAAAUGAAAGUGAAAAUGUAAAACCCUGCCAAAACCCGAACCCACCAAAACCCUCGCUGCUGCUCACUGCUGGGCUCACUGCUGACCUCUGACCUGUCCCUGUCGUGAUCGUUGAUCAUGUGGAAGCUUCACCCCCAGCCUCUGCUGGCGAUCAAGGCCAAUGUCUCCUCCAACCCAAAAACCUGGAUCGUUAUCGGUCUCACCGUCGCAGGGAUCGUGGUCCUGGCCGAGACCCACCGCCGAAGACGACGCCGAACGGAACCAUUUAUAGAGCCCCGCUUCCAACUCCUUCCCUUCCCUCAGCCCCCUCUCCCCGCCGCCACUCAACCCCUCUCCUCCCUCUCCUUCGCUAUCUCCGACAUAUUUGAUGUGAAGGGUUAUGUGACGGGGUUUGGGAGUCCAGAUUGGGCGCGAACGCAUGAAGCGGCGACCAAGACGGCGUUCGUUGUGACGGCUCUGCUAAAAAAUGGGGCUACUUGCGUUGGCCACACCGUCAUGGACGAGCUCAAUUUUGGGAUCACUGGUGAGAAUGUGCAUUAUGGAACGCCUGUGAAUCCCGAAUUACAAUCUCACAUUCCGGGAGGAUCUUCCAGUGGUUCUGCUGUGGCUGUUGCAGCCGGUCUUGUUGACUUUGCUCUUGGUACUGAUACAACUGGAUGUGUUAGAAUUCCAGCAUCAUUUUGUGGUGUCAUUGGGUACCGACCGUCUCAUGGGGCUGUAUCUAUGCUUGGAGUUUUGCCAAAUUCACAAAGUUUAGACGCUGUUGGAAUUUUUGCCUGCGAUCCAUCUAUUCUACAUCGUGUUGGACAUGUUUUGCUUCAACUGAAUUCUGUGGAACCUAAAAGGGCGAGACGCCUUAUUUUUGCUGAUGAUCUCUUUCAGCUUCCUAAAAUUCCUACUGAGAAGACAGUACAUGUUGUCAGCAAAGCAAUUGAACAUCUAUCUGGGUACCAACCUCCAAAGCAUAUGAAUUUUAGUCAGUAUAUUGCUUCAAAUGUACCCAGUUUAAAAGCAUUUCGUGAAGAAUCCACAAAACAUCAAAAUGGAGUAUUUACUUUGAAAGCUCUCUCUUCUGUGAUGCUUUUGAUACAGAGUUGUGAAUUCAAAACCAAUCAUGAAGAAUGGGUUAAAUCAGCGAAACCAAAGCUAGGGCCAGAUGUAUCAGAUCGUGUUCGUGCAGCAAUUAACUCUACAAAUGAAAACAUGAAAACCCUAUAUAAAGUAAGGACUGAGAUGAGAGCUGCCCUUCAAAGUCUUUUAAAGGAUGACGGAAUAUUAGUGAUUCCCACAAUCGCAGAUCCGCCAUUAAAGCUGAAUACAAAGAAGGGGGGCUCAUCUGAGUUUAAUGAUAGAACAUUAGCAUUAACAAGCAUUGCCAGCAUGUCUGGGUGCUGUCAGGUUACGGUACCAGUGGGAGAGCACAAUGACUGCCCCAUCUCUGUUUCAUUCAUCGCGUUCCAUGGUGUUGAUAAAUUUCUCCUUGAUACAGUCUUGGAUAUGUACUCUUCAGUUCAGGAGAAAGUCAGCAUUGCAUCCCAUUCAUUGCCAUUGCCAGAUACCAAUGGGAACAUGGAUGCUUCAGAACUCUUAAAAGAGAAGGGAAAUGCUGCAUUUAAGGGAAGGCAAUGGAAUAAGGCUGUCAACUAUUAUACUGAAGCUAUCAAAUUGAACAUGAUGAGCACAACUUACUACUCCAACCGCGCAGCUGCUUACUUGGAGUUGGGGUGCUUCCAGCAAGCUGAAGAGGACUGCAGCAAGGCAAUAUCACUUGACAAAAAGAAUGUGAAGGCAUAUCUUAGGCGCGGAACAGCUAGAGAAUCACUUCUUUGUUAUAAGGAGGCUGCUCAAGAUUUCAAGCAUGCCCUUGUUCUUGAACCUCAAAAUAAGGUUGCCAGUCUUGCUGAAAAAAGACUAAGGAAACUGCUGAGUUGAGUCCCUGCGAACAAAAAUUAUGUGGCACAAUACUCGUGCAGAAGAAAACUGAGAGAGACCAUUCAGACAGAGAGUUGAUGUCCUUAUUACUUUUAGGACGUAGAAGUUCAUUCGGUCAGAAUUGUUUUGUUACAAGUUCAUUGAUCGGAUCCGAUUAAGCGUUGCAGCUUGCGCUCCCGCAAUCACAGGUGUAAGAUUAACUCAAAGCUUGUUAAACAUGAAGCCAUGAAGGCCGAAUCAACUGCCGGUGGAUGAGUAUGAACUUCGAAAUUUGUGCAGCACAUCGAUUAAAUCACUCAUUCAGUGACGAUUAAUGUGAUGCUAAUGCAAUUUGUUAAGGCCGGUAUGACAGUCAUUUUGUCAUUGUCUUUAGUUUUCAAUUUUUAUGUUAGGGAUAGAGGUGAAAUUAUAUUGGAAAAGGAUAAGUUGAAAGAUGGGUCAUGGGUGAGAACGUGAGAGGGAGGGAGUAAUGAAGGAGAAUGUAUGAAAGAAUAACUCAAUUGAAAAGCAACUUGAGAUUGUUUCCU